GAUGAACGCUAGCGGCAGGCCUAAUACAUGCAAGUCGAACGGUGUCUUCGGACAUAGUGGCGCACGGGUGCGUAACACGUAUGCAACCUACCUUACAUUGGGGGAUAGCCUUUCGAAAGGGAGAUUAAUACCGCAUAAGACAGUAGCUGGGCAUCCAGCAGCUGUUAAAGAUUUAUCGAUGUAAGCUGGGCAUGCGUCCAAUUAGCUAGUUGGUGAGGUAACGGCUCACCAAGGCAAUGAUUGGUAGGGGAACUGAGAGGUCAAUCCACCACACUGGAACUGAGAUACGAGCCAGACACCUACGGGAGGCAGCAGUAGGGAAUAUUGGGCAAUGGACGCAAGUCUGACCCAGCCAUGCCGCGGGCAGGAUGAAGGCGUUAUGCGUUGUAAACUGCUUUUAUACAGGAAGAAACGACUCUUGCGAGAGGCAUUGACGGUACUGUAUGAAUAAGCACCGGCUAACUCCGUGCCAGCAGCCGCCGUAACAC
rnacentral:rRNA from 1 species